AUAUCAAGGAGAGCUUUAGGUGGCCUUUUUUGCUGAAAAGCUUUGCAACUGUUUGCAAUGGGUUUAGGAGAUAUUCUCCGCAAUGAUAUGUCCAGUUUGUCGUGGCAUCUAUAAUUGCAGUAUAUGCAGAACUAAGAAAGGAUGGUUCCCUACUGGUUCUGCAUGUAGGAAGGCGGUCGGACUUGGGUACAAAUAUGUAGCACACUUUCUAAUUGCCAAGCAUAAUAACAAACAAGUGCCACUGAUAUAGUGAACAACGCGGAGGAGCUCCAAUAAUCUGAUGUGGGAACAGGACCUGCCAUGUUUGAGGAUAAGAAGAUAGGUGAUCUAGCUGGAUGAAAUUGUCGACAAGGCCAUUAGCAUCAUGCAAGUUACCUCGAAGCAUCUCAUGUAUAUCUGCAAGAAGCUGCACUCACGGAAGGCAUUGAGUGCAAUAGAGGUGAAGGAACUGCUUGAAGCCCUUUAAGCAAUUGCUGAAGGUUUGGACCUAGAUUCACUCUUGUGCCAGAGUUUGGUGUAGUCCUCGAUUAUAAACUGUGUACCAUGUUAAUGUAGUGACAUAGUUUGUAUGAUGCAAUUCAUAGUGAUGUUGUUUGAAGCUGUUUGUAUGGAUUAUGAUGUCUGAUGCAGUUUGUAUGAACUAUGUCAUAUUAUGUUGAAUGAAGCUAUUGA